rnacentral:rRNA from 1 species
CCUACGGGUGGCUGCAGUAAGGAAUAUUGGUCAAUGGACGCAAGUCUGAACCAGCCAUGCCGCGUGGAGGAUGAAGGUCCUCUGGAUUGUAAACUUCUUUUAUUUGGGAAGAAACUCCCGAUUUCCAUCGGGAUUGACGGUACCAGAUGAAUAAGCACCGGCUAACUCCGUGCCAGCAGCCGCGGUACUACGGAGGGUGCAAGCGUUAUCCGGAUAAAGUGGGCGUAAGUGGGCAGGUAAGUCGCUGGUGAAAUCUCCGGGCUUAACCCGGAAACUGCCAUUGAUACUAUUUGUCUUGAAUACUCUGGAGGUGAGCGGAAUAUGUCAUGUAGCGGUGAAAUGCUUAGAUAUGACAUAGAACACCCAUUGCGAAGGCAGCUCACUACGGAAAUAUUGACGCUGAGGCACGAAAGCGUGGGGAUCAAACAGGAUUAGAUACCCUUGUAGUC